rnacentral:lncRNA from 1 species
UGUAUUAGUACAAAAUUAUCAAUAUAAACAAAUUUUAAUUCAAAUGAUAUUAACUAACUUACCAAUAUAUCGUUCCAUAUAAUGUUCCGAUCAACCUCGGACACAUGAUCAAAAGAUGGAAUGAGAAUGCUAAUCUUAUCACGUGCCACCACUCCAAGGUAUGAUCGGAAGUCAUCUGCAUAAUGGCCAGUUGCCACACCCGUGAUGACAUUCACAUUCACUGGAGUUCUUUCACCACUAGUUUUCCUGAUCAAUAGUUGUUUCAUCCUAGUGGGUCCUCUAGUGGAUCUGGUAGGGGGAGCCUCAUCUCCGGAAGAAUGUGGAUGAUCAGCCAUAUAUCUGUCAAAAUAAAUAACAACAUCAAAUAUUAAUAAAAGACUUAUGUAAUAUCAUAUAAUUUAACAAAACAUGUAAUAGUAAUCAUAGAAAUGUAUAAAAACAAAACUAAUGUGAUAUUAAUAAAAUACUUAUACAGAAAUUUAAAAUUCAUACAUAAAGAUAUGGAUUCAUCAUAUGUAUAUUCCCCCAUUCAAACAGUUCACACAAGGACAUCUAAACUUCACUUCAUUGUCACUUCUCCCCUCAUUACGUUGCGCAAAUUGUAUAAAUUCCUCUACACCUCUCUCGUACUCANCAC